rnacentral:rRNA from 1 species
UACGUAGGGUGCGAGCGUUGUCCGGAAUUAUUGGGCGUAAAGAGCUCGUAGGCGGUCUGUCGCGUCGGAUGUGAAAACCCAGGGCUUAACCCUGGGCCUGCAUUCGAUACGGGCAGACUAGAGUUCGGUAGGGGAGACUGGAAUUCCUGGUGUAGCGGUGAAAUGCGCAGAUAUCAGGAGGAACACCGGUGGCGAAGGCGGGUCUCUAGGCCGACACUGACGCUGAGGAGCGAAAGCGUGGGUAGCGAACAGG